GCCGGGCACGGUGGCCUGUGCUUGUAUUCCCAACUACUGGGGAGGCUGAAGUGGGAGGAUUGCUUGAGCCCAGGAGUUCUGGGCCGUAGUGCACUAUGCCGAUCGGGUGUUUGCACUAAGUUCGGCAUCAAUAUGGUGACCUCCCGGGAGUGGGGGACCACCAGGUUGCCUAAGGAGAGGUGAACCCAUCCAGGUUGGAAAUGGAGCAGGUCAAAACUCCCUUGCUGAUCGGUAGUGGGAUCACGCCUGUGAACAGCCACUGCACUCCAGCCUGGGCAACAUAGUGAGACCCUGUCUCU
rnacentral:SRP_RNA from 1 species